AAGUCAUGUUGACGUCAACUUGUUAACAAGCCCUUGUAUCAUUCCUAAGCUUCAUACAGUGACUCUCCCACCCCUUAUUAGAAGUUAGCAAUCUUCUUUUUGAGCUU